AGGCCAUGAUGUGGACAUCCUUCGAACAAUAUUUUGUAUCUCUCCCAUGCUUCAUAGAAUGAUUCGUUUUCCAUUUGAGAAAAAGAAGUGAGGUCCUUCUUUAAUCG